AUUGAACGCUGGCGGCAUGCCUUACACAUGCAAGUCGAACGGUAACAGGUCUUCGGAUGCUGACGAGUGGCGAACGGGUGAGUAAUACAUCGGAACGUGCCCGAUCGUGGGGGAUAACGGAGCGAAAGCUUUGCUAAUACCGCAUACGAUCUACGGAUGAAAGCAGGGGACCGCAAGGCCUUGCGCGGACGGAGCGGCCGAUGGCAGAUUAGGUAGUUGGUGGGAUAAAAGCUUACCAAGCCGACGAUCUGUAGCUGGUCUGAGAGGACGACCAGCCACACUGGGACUGAGACACGGCCCAGACUCCUACGGGAGGCAGCAGCAAGGAAUCUUGGGCAAUGGGCGAAAGCCUGACCCAGCAACGCCGCGUGAGGGAUGAAGGCUUUCGGGAAGUAAACCUCUUUUCAUAGGGAAGAAUAA
rnacentral:rRNA from 1 species